rnacentral:rRNA from 1 species
UCAAGCUGAAGACUUUACCAGACCAAGCUGAGAGGUGGUGCAUGGCCGUCGCCAGCUCGUGCCGUGAGAUGUCCUGUUAAGUCAGGUAACGAGCGAGAUCCCUGCCUCUAGUUGCCACCAUUACUCUCAGGAGUAGUGGGGCGAAUUAGCGGGACCGCCGCAGUUAAUGCGGAGGAAGGAAGGGGCCACGGCAGGUCAGUAUGCCCCGAAACUCUGGGGCCACACGCGGGCUGCAAUGGUAGCGACAAUUGGUUUCGAAUCCGAAAGGAUGAGGUAAUCCACAAACGCUACCACAGUUAUGACUGAGGGCUGCAACUCGCCCUCACGAAUAUGGAAUCCCUAGUAACUGCGUGUCAUUAUCGCGCGGUGAAUACGUCCCUGCUCCUUGCACACACCGCCCGUCGUUUCAUUGAAGUGAGCUUUUAGCGAGGUGACGUCUGAUUGGCGUUAUCGAACUUGAGGUUCGUGACAAGGGAAAAGUCGUAACAAGGU